rnacentral:ncRNA from 1 species
AAGUGAGGUAGAGGCGCGAGUAAUAAUCAGUACUGGUAAUAAGAUGAGCAACUUUGAUUUGCCAGGAAAGGUAUUCUCGCCGAAGCAUAAAGAUGACAGCUCUAAUCUUUAUGCUGGGUUUAUGGUUAAAAGCCAUAAGACUGUCAUCAGAAAUUUUACCCUGAUUUCUGAUGGAGCGCUAUCUCAUCU